GCCUCUAUGGUGAAAUAAGUAGAUGCGAGGGACUUAAAAUCCCUUUGUCCGUAAGGGCAGUGUAGGUUCAACUCCUACUAGGGGCACAA
rnacentral:tRNA from 1 species